rnacentral:hammerhead_ribozyme from 1 species
AUCUGGAUGACGAGUCCCAAAUAGAACGAAAUGCGCAUCCUGCAU